UACGGAGGGUGCAAGCGUUGUCCGGAAUUAUUGGGCGUAAAGAGCUCGUAGGCGGUCUGUUGCGUCCGCUGUGAAAACUCGGGGCUUAACCCCGAGCCUGCAGUGGAUACGGGCAGACUAGAGGUAGGUAGGGGAGAAUGGAAUUCCCGGUGUAGCGGUGAAAUGCGCAGAUAUCGGGAGGAACACCGGUGGCGAAGGCGGUUCUCUGGGCCUUACCUGACGCUGAGGAGCGAAAGCGUGGGGAGCGAACAGG
rnacentral:rRNA from 1 species